rnacentral:lncRNA from 1 species
UAUCCUUCGUCGACCGGCCCCCCUCGGCCUAUGAAUAGGGCAUCGAGCUGAGGCCAAAGAGCGCACAAAGAGAGAGAGAUCGGAGGAGCGAGCUUGGAGGACUUCACCUGAGAGACAUCUGGGGAGGCCUGAGAGUGAGCGAGUCCGAGAGGUAGAGAUGAAGAGAGAGAGAUCUGAGGGUUUCUUCAGAGAGACAUCCAAGAAGCCCGAGAGAACUAAGCGAGCGAGAGAAAUCAGGAGUUUGAGAGAGAGAAG